rnacentral:misc_RNA from 1 species
AUCUCUCAACACUGACAGGGUUCUUCCUUGUUCUGAUGCUUGGAUGCUGAAGGCUUGCUGGCAAUUUUAUUAAUGUCAGCUCCUUUUAAAUGCAUUAGCAGAAACCAAUGUAAAGCUGGCUUCAGUUUGAUAACACAUUUAUCUAAGGGCUGUUGCUGGUAAAAGCUAUAUUGUUUCAGCUUCAAAUUGUCCAUUUUUCAUGGACUGUCUCUUGAGAGGCAUAUACAACUUGAC